UUAAAAUUAGAAUUUCCAGUCAAAUUAAGCAUAAUUAGGGAAAACGGGAAAAUACCGGACAAUUAAGCACAAUUCCCUUAUUAAUUCUAGCACAAUAACCUAAGUGAAAUCAAUAAAAUAUCGACUCAUCACAUCAUCCCCUCCUCCUUGGAAAGGAUUUGUCCUCAAAUCUGAUGGUUCGCCCGAGGACUUAUUAUUGUAGACUCCAUACAAUUUCCUAUUGGAUCAAAGAUUAAUCUGCUAUAAGCAUCAAACAUAUCUCUAAUUAGCUUUAUUUGACCCAAUAAGAUAUAUAGAGGAAUAUGUUUAGAAGAAGGUUUCCUAGAUUUGAAAUUUUCAAGUUUAUGAUAAUAAAGAAACCUUACUUCAUUUGAAAAUUUAAUUUUGUCUUGAGUUAGUGAUAAUUGGAAAGGUAACUCUAACUAAAGUUUUUGAUUGCCAUGUGUUAAAAGUUGCAAUUUUUGAAAAGAUGUAAUGGGAAUUUCUUGGAAAGAAAAGGUAUAUUUGGAACAUUCAAUAUCAAAUGAAGAAAAGUGAAAGGAUAGAAAACCUCCCCUUAAAAGUCUUGGUUCCAUUGUUAGUGUAGGAGACAUUUUCCUUAAUUGCUCUUUCUUCUUUUCUUCCAUUUCUUUUUCAAUUUCUUCCUUCUCUUCCUCUUCCUUACUCAUUUCUCUCUUAUUUUCUCUUCUUCUCUUCUCUCUCUUUCUUCCUCUUCUUUCUUUACUUGCUCUCUUUCUUCCUCUUCUUUUCUCUCUUGUUCUCUCUUUCUCUCUCUUUCUCUUCUUCUUCUCUUUUUCUCUCUUUACUUCUCUCUUGUCUUUCUAUUCUUUCUUUUAGUUUCCUAUGUUCUCGCUCAAGAUCUCUUUUACUUCCCUCAUGUUGAGAUUGUUGACAACACAAACUCUAUAUCAAUCUAGUUUUUGAUGAUGACAACAUUAUG
rnacentral:lncRNA from 1 species